AUGGUCAGGCUAAAGAGGACUGCAGAUGAUGGAUGGUACUUCUCCACAGUCGUCCUGACCCAUAACCACGAGCUUGCAAACACUGCCGGAGAGAAGAAGGUGUGGAAGUGCCACAAUACCGUCGACUCGUCCAUCAAAGAACUGAUCAAGCAUAUGCGGUCUAACAACAUCCCUGUGAACAAGGUUUAUGGCGUGAUGUCCGAUAUACAUGGGCGUCACGAAGAGGUUCCCUUCGGCAAGCGUUGUCUGAAGAAUCUAUGCGCAACCCUCGCACACGAUUCAAGCCUCGACGACAUCACAAAGACGCUCGAUAUAUUCAGUAAGAUGCAAGCGCAAAACCCUGAUUUUUUUUACGCGGUGAAGGUCGACUCAGAGAGGCGUGUGCAUGGAAUUCUUUGGUGUCACUCGAAGAGCCGAGCUGACUAUCAUCUGUCUGGUGACGUGCUGACCUUCGACACCACUUAUAAGAGUAAUCUGUAUGAGAUGCCUGUGGGUCUUUUCGUUGGAGUGAACAAUCACUACCAAUCUGCCCUGUUCGGGUGUGUUAUUCUUAGAGAAGAAAGAGAAGACUCAUUCAAGCGGGCAUUUUCUACCUUUGUUGAAGCCAAUGGCGGGAAGACGCUGCAGACGACACUCACAGUAUCAGAUCAAUGCCGGCAGAUGGAAGUUGCUAUCACUCAUACAAUGCCCUCUACAGUCCACCGUCUGUGCAAAUGGCACGUUAUGAAAAGUAUAAAGGAGAAUCUUGGGGCAUUAUAUAAGAAAGGGACCCCAUUCCGAAUUGACUUUAAUCGUCUCACAAAUGAGAUGAUGACUGUCGAUGAGUUCGACCGUGGAUGGGCUUAUCUGAUGGAUACCUAUGGACUUGCUGGUACAUGGCACAUAUAUGAUUGCCGUGACAAAUGGGCCAAACCCUACCUCAGCUCGAACUUCUGCGCCAAGAUGUGUAGCACGCAACGUAAUGAGUGCAUGAAUAAUGUGCUGAAAAGCUAUGUUUCGCUUUCAGCACCUCUCAACCGUUUUGUGCUGCAGUAUAACAAGCUCAUAGCGCAGCGGUGUGAGGAUGAAGACUUUGAGAUGGCACACACAAAGAAGGAUGUCCCUAGUCAUUACAUUUUGAAAAGAUGGAGUAGGGAUGCCCGUGAUGUUCUUCCUGAUCACUUAAAAUGUUAUCAGAAGGACUCGGACCUGGGGGUGUCUAAGACGUUUAGGCACAACAUUUUAUAUGUGCGUGCUCUGCAGGUUGUCAAGCUUGGCAAUAUGAGCGUCCCGCUCUUCAACCACGCCGUGCAGCGACUGCUAGCCCUGGAGAAAGAACUGAAUGCCAUGGCUGAGGAAGAAGCAGAAAACAAAUCAGCUGGCUUGUGCGGGUCUGAAACUUUGAGGUGCACGUCUCCUGCUACCCUUUCUGAAGAAAUUCCGAACUCAGGGGCAUAUGCCAGUGAAGCUGCGCCCCCUGAUCUCACGUCUGAACCGGUCGACGUCCCUUUGCCACCGCAGAGAAUGUGUGACACUCCAAAAUUUUAA
rnacentral:rRNA from 1 species